AAUUAGGUAUGAAAUAGAGAAAUGUAUGAGCUCUUUAUCAAGCUUACGCAAAUUUGAUGUAAAAUGCAAUUUCUGAUAAAUAUCGUGUAUACUAAAAAGAAACGAGUUAACCGUAUUUAGUGCAAUACAAUAUCAUAUAUUCUUUAAUCCCAUAUUUUUUGUCAAAUUCACUUAAUAAAUGUGUAUGUACACUAAAUAUUUUAGGUGUAUUAUGUAUAGUAUCAAAGUUCACGAAUUGCAAGUAUAUAUAUGGUAUUUUUGGUACACAUUUAUUGUCAGAAGCAGAGGAACUGAUGUGCAUUUAUAUACUGCUAUAUAAGUUGAAGGGAGAGGCCGAAUUAUGUUUUUAUAACUUGUGCCCAAUCCCAUUGCAAUAUAUAAAUCAAUAAAAUAUGUCCAAAAUCAAACGUUAAAAUAGUGCUACUAAACAUUCAUAUUUACAUUCAGAUAUUUAUAUGUUUUUGUUUUGUUUUGCAAUUAUAUGUAUUAUGCUUGCUUAUUUUUCAAACAUUAAAACUUUUAAUUUGG
rnacentral:sRNA from 1 species